AGACUCUGUGCGCGUGCAUAUCAAUAAGCGGAGGAAAAGAAACUAACAAGGAUUCCCUUAGUAACGGCGAGUGAAGCGGGAAGAGCUCAAAUUUGAAAUCUUCGAGGUUCUACCUUGACGAAUUGUAGUUUAUAGAAGUGUUUUCUGUUAGUAGAGUGGUAAAAGUUCUUUGGAAUAGGACAUCAUAGAGGGUGAGAAUCCCGUAUUUGGUACAUUACUCUUCUAGCUGUGUGAUACACUUUCAACGAGUCGGAUUGUUUGGGAAUGCAGUCCAAAAUGGGUGGUAAAUUUCAUCUAAAGCUAAAUAUUGGCGAGAGACCGAUAGCGAACAAGUACCGUGAGGGAAAGAUGAAAAGAACUUUGAAAAGAGAGUCAAACAGUACGUGAAAUUGUCAAAAGGGAAGCGUUUGACACCAGUGUUGUUUUCUCGAAAAUCAAUUAAAAAUAGGCUUGAUUUUGUGUUGUAUUGACUCUUAUAGGCUUUCUGCACUCUUUUUCCUGUUAUUUUUAAUGCACUUUUCGUUUAACAAGUCAACAUCAAUUUCUUUUGUUGUAAAAGAGUCAUUGGAAGGUGGCUUUUUCUUCGGAGAAAGUGUUUAUAGCCUUUAAGCUUCUGCAAUCGGAGAGAUUGAGGUCUGCAGCGUAGAUCCUUCGGGGUUAGAUACAUUUGUGCUAAGCUACAGUUCUUUAUAGACAACUUGUUGACUAUGAUCGAUCCUGUAGCUUACUCGCUUAUGCUAUUUUACCUACGCUUAGGAUGUUGAAGAUGUAGCACAUCAU
rnacentral:rRNA from 1 species